rnacentral:rRNA from 1 species
UACGAAGGGUGCAAACGUUGCUCGGAAUUAUUGGGCGUAAAGCGCACGUAGGCGGCUUGGCAAGUCGGAUGUGAAAUCCCUCGGCUCAACCAAGGAAGUGCAUCCGAAACUGCUGAGCUUGAGUACUUAAGAGGAUCGCGGAAUUCCCGGUGUAGAGGUGAAAUUCGUAGAUAUCGGGAGGAACACCAGUGGCGAAGGCGGCGAUCUGGGAAGAUACUGACGCUGAGGCGCGAAAGCUAGGGGAGCAAACGGG